GCCAUAGUAACUCAGUGGCAGGACAUCUGCUUUGCAUGCAGAAGGUCUCAGGUUCAAUCCCUGGCAUUGAAUUGGACG